GUUGGAAGCCUCCUCUCUCAAACACACAAAUCUGAGGGAGGUGGAGGCAGCAGAGCUUGCUUCACCGGCUGCCCAUUGAUCAGACUUAAAGGAUUCAGAGUAGAAACAAGGGGAGAGCAGAGAAAGGAUGAAGGGGGGGUAAGAUAGAAAGAGAGAAAGAUGCAAAUCCUGAAAUGAAGAGGCAAAUCCCAGCAGCUGUUGGUGGGGGAGAACCCCUGGGUUUACCAAUCUGGAUGAUGCUUAUUGGACAGAAGAUUUGACUCUGCAGGAGAGGAGAUGGAGAACUUCUGCAGCAUCCGUCCACCUAGGGCCAUUUUGAGUUGGAGAAAACAUUUUAAACACUGAAAAGCAAAGGAGAUAAAGAGGAAGUUAGCUCAUUUUCAACAUGUAUUUCUGGGUCAAAAGUCUUUAUAAAGGUUCAUUUUUUCCCCUGUGUAGACCAACUUAAGCAUCAUUAGCCAGCUGAGGUGCAGUUUAACUUUUUUAGUGAACAACACCAGGGGGCGCUGCUCUGCACUCACUGAACAUGCUGAAAUUGGAACAAAAUGCAUUGAGGUGCAACUGAUAACUUUUUUGUGCAGAUUAUGACACUCUGGGCAGAGAGCCAUUUUCUCCUUAUUAAAAACACUAAUAGAUUUGUUCUCUAUUUUUGAAAAAUGAAAUUGGAAGAAUGAGAACGUACUGCAAAGAAUUUUAUUCUUAAAACGUGUAAUGUUUUCUUUUUUAAAACUAGUUAAAAACUUACCAAAUCCUCCAUACUGAUGCUAAAAAGCCAAUGGCGGUUUUCUUGGGCGACAAAAAAAAAAAAGCCUUGGGAAAUUUGGCGUCGUUGCUUUGCAAAAUUCAGCAAGCAUAGCGCUACAGAUGCAUACAGUCAGGUUGCUUUAACAAGUCAGGAACAAUAUCCUCAUCCGGGGUUGUUGCAGGAAGUGUGAAAUCAGAUCUGUAUCACUCUUACUUGGAAAAAGCGACACCAGUAAAUAACUUUUUCAUGUGUGUUGCUGAGGAAGGAAAUUGGCAGGACAUAUGUAGGUGAAGGUGCAAAUAGGAAAUAGGUGUCUGGUUGUGUUUAAAAAGGAAACAAAAAAAAAUCUGUAUUCACAACUUUUACGAUUGUGUUUCUGUAAGAAAAAAAGACUGGCAGAAAUUGUUUUUGCAUCGUUACGAGCGCCACACGCCCUACUCGGCAGACUUACAUCAGCUUGAGGUCGUUUCCCUGCUCAUUAAAAUCUCCCCCGCCUGGACUGCGGCGCCCAAUCAGAGCGGCGGAGGAGCCAGAGGGUGCCCAGCGUUUGCUCAGUAGUCAGUGUAGAUCCUGUGGGGCUGGCAGCAGCUACAUCUGGCUACUGGGUCUCUGCUGACGACCAAUCCGGUCCCAGAAUCCAGGAUUGCCGCAGAUGUCUGGUUUCUCCUCACUUGGGACUAGUUCUGGACCUGGCAUACAGUGUAGGAUCCUGUGUGUGUCCGUCUACAGCUACAUUGUCUGCUGGGUUUCAGGCCUUUCCUCUGUCUACUUUAAAGUCACCUUUCAGAUGAAUACAUAAAAAUAAAAAAAAAGCAUGAAUAAAUUGACAAUUUUGUGUUUAUUGACUCAUAAAACAUUCUUCAAACAAUAAAACAAUUUUAAAUGUCUGUUUCUGUACAAUACUUGGUAAGCAACUUCAUUUAUAUUUAUAUAUAUAUAUUUAUUUAUAUUUAUAUAUAGAAAAUGUAAGAGGAGUUGUGUUAAAAUGACAAAACUCCUUCAAAUGUAAUGGCAGGUAUUCUGGAAAAAAAAAAUAACAGCAUUCCAUCGACAAAUAUUUUCAAGCAAUAAAUAUGUAUUUAUAAAUAGUGUAAAUUUACAUCAAGAUUAGAAACAUAAAAA